UACAGAGGGUGCGAGCGUUAAUCGGAAUUACUGGGCGUAAAGCGCACGUAGGCGGCUUGGUAUGUCGGGUGUGAAAUCCCCGGGCUCAACCUGGGAACUGCAUCCGAAACUGCCUUGCUAGAGUAUGGGAGAGGGAAGUGGAAUUUCCGGUGUAGCGGUGAAAUGCGCAGAGAUCGGGAGGAACACCCGUAGCGAAGGCGGCACUCUGGGCCGGUACUGACGCUGAGGAGCGAAAGCGUGGGGAGCAAACAGG
rnacentral:rRNA from 1 species